AGCAGGUUAAGUGCAGGUGGCACAAAGCGCAAGGACCGGCAGAAGGAUCCUGGUUCGAGCCCUUGGCUCCCCACCUGCAGGGGAGUCACUUCACAGGCGGUGAAGGAGGUCUGCAGCUGUCUGUCUUUCUUUACCCCCCUCUGUCUUCUCCUCCUCUCUCCAUUUCUCUAUGUCCUAUCCAGCAAUGACAACAACAACAAUAGUAACUACAACAAUAAAACAACAAGGGCAACAAAAGGGAAUAAGUAAAUAUAAUAAAUAUUAAAAAAAGAAAUAAACUGAGGUAGUGAACUACUAUGCAACUGAAAAGCAUUUUAUUUACAAAAGGCUUGUAAUGCUAGCUGAAUACACACAUUUCAAAAGGCUUACAGAAUAUCAUGAAAAACCUUAAAUGCUUGUGACAUGGUAAUUCAGUGGGGAGAGGAGGCUAUGGAGUUGUAUAUACAAGAUAAAUCAUAAAAGGACAUCAGCAAGUGAUGUGGAGAAAAUGAAAAGGCUAUAAAGAAAUACAGCAAAGUGUAGUGACUAUCUCUGGGUUGUGGUGAGACUGUGGGUGGUUUGUUUUCUUCUUUCUCCAAAUUUUGAAGGCAUUCCUCCCCCAAAUUUCAUUUUAAAAAAUGCACUUCUAGUCCUCGUACUCUACACCCAGCCCCACCCAGGGGACCAGACUCAGGGUACCUGUCCCCACCCUUCUAUUUAGAUAUGGCUGGGAAGAGGCAUCAGAAACCUACCUUCUCCCUGCCAGUGCUGGGCUCACCCCUCCCAUGUGAAUGUGGGCUGCACCCAGGCUCAGACAGGCCCAGGACAGCCCCCAGCUGGGUCCUGCAUCUUGGGCAGCGCAUCCCCUGUGGGGGCAGAUGGGAGAAGUUACAGAUUCAUAUGCCCAGAGUGGAUUUUCCAAGCUGAGGGACCUGAGAGUUCAACAGGCCCACUGAGCCUCAAACAUGAAUGUUAGAACCACCAGGAUACUUAUUAGCAAUGCAGAGUUCUAGGUUCAUCUCUAGAGAUGGUUUUGGUAGGUCUUGGUGGGGACCAGAAAUGGAGUAUUUAACAAGAUCCUGAAGGACUGUGAUGUAGGUAUUCUCAGCCCUGCUCUGAGAAACCAGGAUGCAGGCUAACCCAGAACCUCCCUCUUCCUCCCUACUCUAUGUAGAAGAGUGUGGAGUGAGUUGGGAUGGAAGCAAGGGGAGAGAUGGUGGGUCUGGAGUGGGAAGAAUGGCACUGUUGGGGGCACAGUACACAGGGUACAUUCAAUAGCAGAUACAAACUUACAUCAGACUCCCUGAGACCUGAUGGGGGUCCAGUGGCUACAAAUACAGAUGCAGGGAUGUGGAGAUGGUGUGUGGGGGGGGGGGCAGGUGUUUCCAGUUAGAACUGUGAGGCCACUCCUGCAGACUCCAGGGCUGACAGUCUUCCAGGUGUGGGGCAGGAGGAGAGCCUAAGGGAGGCUGGGCAGAGCCACAGCAUCUGGCUGAUAAGUGCUAAAUCUGUAGCAGGAAGCUGACUACAGUUAGUGCGGCUCCAACACUCAGGUGUAUGGCAGGUCUGGCCUGGAAGGUGGGCAUGGUAGGACUAGACUGCGAUGAAGUCCAGUGCUUCUCCAGACAUGUGGAGAGGAGGCCCAGGAAUCACGGACCUCUCGAGGCCCUGUAAAGAAGCUUCAUCUUCCUCUGAAUUCUGCAGAAAUGAUAAAGGAAAUUGAGAAGUAGAAUCCAGCCCUGGCUGCUGCUGGGUCCACCCCAGUCUCCCCCCAAAACUCUGGGCAACUGUGUCUUUGGGUACCUGAGGGGCACAGGACCAACAACUUCCUGGAACUCCCAGGCUUCCUCCCUAUAUUCACCUGCCCCCUGGGACAGCAUCCUUAUGGCUUUAGGCCCUGUUGACUGCAGAAGUGGGAACUCCGCCAGCCCAGAGCUCGUUAAGCUCUGGUUUUCAACCAGCUAUCCAAGAAUUUUCUGAAUCAACUAAAAAAACAAUGUGAGGUUGAAUGCCCUGCUUUCUGGGGUGAACCAGCCUAGGCUGUGAUGGGAUAGGUAGGUGGCUGAUGAGGAAAGACACUCUAGCUGCCCCUCUUUGACCCCACCUCCUAGUUCCCUCAGUCCCUAUCCUGUCCCCUUCCCCCCUUUGUUAGAGCAGAACCAGGCUGGGUGGCUGCAGAUCCUGGGGCCCUGUGUCCAUACCUGGUUUAGGUGCUGGACCUCAGUGUACGGACAGGUGGGGGGUUUGGGGCUGGUGUCAGACUCCGAGGGGCCUGCAAGGUUGAUCACAGCAUACUCUGGGACCCAGUUGUUUCCCACUGCCUGAAACACACACUUGGUCAGAACAGUCUGUUUUUGGAGCCAGAACAGAGAGAGGAGAUGCAAUGUGUGUGUGUGUGUGUGUGUGUGUGUGUGUGUGUGUGUCACAGAGCACUACAGCUGGUGAAUGUGGUCUCUCUCUCAUAGGGGGUCCUACAAAUGGAGAUGUCCUGGCAAGUGCUUUCAGAAAGGAAAAAGCUGAUCUGAUCCUCACAUUCCCCUCUGGGCUUUUGUUUUAAUUAAUUAAUUUAUUUGCCACCAGGAUUAUUGAGGUAAUAUAUAAAAAUAACUGCAAAGAUUUGUAGCAGGUUUUUAGGACAUCUAUAAAUUCUGAGCUUAACCCCCCUCUGUCUUCUGGUAUUUGUAUGGCCCUGGGAGCUUUAAGCCUUUUUAUUUCCUCUGCCCAUUUCAUGGUCCUUACAUACCUACUAUGAAUCAUUAGCCAAUCUUUCUUUGUGUAUUAUCUUACUAUAAAAAAGAAUCUCUGCUGAAAUUCAGGGCCCAGAACUUGUAGUGUGAGCUACUUCUGGGUCAGUGUGCCCCAAGUGUCCUGUACCCAGGAUGUUGAAGCUUUUGUUCACCGAUUCCCCAUUUACAUUAUCACUGGGGUUCAAGGACUCAAUGACCAUUUUUCCUUUUCUUUCUUUUUUGAUAGAGGGUAAGAGAAGGGGAGGGUGCAAACUCUACUCCUUAAGCUUUCCCUCUGCAAGUGGGCAGUGGGGAGUGGGGACCGGGGACUUGAACCCAGGCCCUCGUGCAUGGUUAAUAUGUGUGCUGUACUAGGUGAGCCAACCCAUGAUCCUCUCCCCAGGAUCUACUCUGAGUUCUUACACCCAGUGGCUCCCUGAAAGAGUGAAUAGAAUGCCUCCCUGCCCUCCUUGACCUCAGUGUGAGCAAAGAAAACCCCAGACCCUUUCAAUUUCACCUUUAGAUUCUGCUAAAAACUAGAGAAACCCAAAGGGAAAGAAGAUAAACCAAAGCAAAUGUUCUCCCCUGGACCCUGCUCACAGGGCUCUUCCUGCUGAGCCUCUUAGGACACCUCUUUCCAACCUUUCUCCCACAAGGCCUCCCCCCCCCCCCCCCCCCCAGUGAUCUUCUGCAAGCUGGCUCUGUGUCCCUUCCUCUCGGCUCUUAUGUAGGGAGCUGCCUUAAGCAGAGAAGUCCAAGCAAACCCUUGGAGCAGGCAGGCUGGAGUGGUGCAGAAGGGUGAGCCAGACAAGGGGUGCUCCCUGCAGCAGAGGCUCUCUCUCCAUUUCAACCCUUUCUGGGUUUGGGUGGAGGUGAGACCUAUGCAGCAGGCUACAGGGCUCUGAGAGAGGUCAGCUUUCCCACGCUCCCCUUGACUUUUCCCUCACUCUUGUCCACCACCUUUGGCCUGGACCUGCUUCCUGAGACAACAACAGCUGUUUCCUAAGCCAAGGCUUAGUGCCCCCCCUCCAAUCAGGUCUUCCGUGGGAGGCCAGGUCUGGGUCUUUUGUCUUCAGUGGCGCCAGGAAAGAAGGUGAUGGUAGCCCCUUUCCUGCCCUGAGUGGGCGGGAACCAGAGUAAAGGUAAAUAGCAGAGGGUGGGGUGGUGGCUGGGGGGUGGGGGGGCAGCUGCAGCUUCUAGAAGGUCCUGCAGCUGUUUUCUCUGAUAUUCUGGCAUGGGGACAGGUAGCCUCUUUCCUAGGCCUAGUUUCCUGAUUAGGAAGUUGAGCACAGGGACUCCCUAGUCCUCCACCCUCAGCCUGGGCCUCCAGGCAGCCAGUCACACCAGCUCAGACUCAAGAGUCCAAAACAACUCUGAAGGUAUCAGGGUGUUCAGGAAAGAGAAGAGGUGGGGGGUGGGGUGGAGGUGGGAAUUGAGGCCACCCUUGGCUAUGUGUUCUAGGGCAAGACUUUUUUACCCUCUGUAGGCCUCAGUUUCCUUUUUUCACAAAAGCAGUUUACAGUUAGCACAGUCUGGCUUCAGGGUCCCAGGGGGCAGUGUCAGAAAUCAGCUUCCUGGGCUGGUAGGGAGCUGGCUAGUGCAUGUCUCCGGGUAAGGCCCUGGGUUUGAUCACUGGCACCACAAAAAUAAUGGGGUGGUGGGAUCGAAGAGAUAACUGGUACUAUGAUGUUUCAUCCUCUCUCUUCCUGUCAGAAUGAAACAUUGGUCUGGAAUGGUGAACUUGUACAUGCUAGAACCCCCCUCCCCAAAGAAAUAAAUUAUCAAUAAAGUAAAAUAAGCAGAGUGAUGCUCAGGUCUCUAUCAUAAAAAAUAAAGCAGCUCACCUGGUAGAGCACAUACUUUACCGUGCAAGGACCCAGGUUUGUGCCCCAAACCCCACAUGGGAGACCCAUGGUUAGCACAGGGGAAGGUGCCAUGAAAGGCAGAGCAGUGCUGUGCUGUCUCUUCUCUCUAACUCGCCCCUGACUCCCUGCUAACUGUCUAAAGUUGAAAGGAAAAUGAAGUCCAUUGAGAGUAAUGUAAUCAUGCAGGUGUGAGACCUCAGCAGAAAAAAACAAAAACAAAAUAAAAUAAUAAAAUUCAGGUUCCUGGCCGCCAACUGUAGAAGUUUCAGCUGGGAUUGACAUUAAAGAGAAUUUCCAUUUUUCUUUCUCUCUCUCUUUUUCUUCUUUUCUUUCUUUCUUCCUUCCUUUCUUUCCUUCUCACCAUAGUUAUUGCUAGCAUUCAGUGCCUACAUGAUUCCCCUGUUCCCAGCAACCAUUUCUAUUGAUAAACUUGAGCGACUGAGAGAGAAAGAAAGAGAGAAGGGGAGCACAUGCAGGACUGCUCCAUCACUUGUGAAGCUGCCCCUUGGUAGGUGGGGGCUGGGGCCUUGAACCAAGGUCUCUGUGCACAGUAAUGUGUGUGUCACCAUCUGGGCCACCUGAAGACUGUAUUUCUAACAGCUUCCUUUCCUUUCCCCCUAGGCCCACAAGUACUUUGAAAGGGAGUUUGCACUAGGUAUAGAGGAAGGUUGGCCAGCUGAUUUCUAAACCCCUCUGGACCCAGCCCUGAUGGUCUCUGAUGGCAGGAGGGCACCAGGCCUUCUGUCUGGUGGGAAAUGUGAGGGUCCCCUCCUAAAUGGUUGGUCUCAAGGCUUAGAGAUUCUCUAAACAUGGGAAGCAAGCCCUGAUGUGAGCUGACCAGGGAGGCAGACAAGCCCAUGUUCCCACCCCAGCAUGGACUUCAGCCACCUCAUUUCUUACCACAUGUGAAAGGUGUACCUUCUCCUUCUCCAGUGUGUCCUCAGCCAGCUGUGCUAAAAGAGACCAGAAAGAGUAACCUGGAGCUGGAAAUAGCCAGGAGUAUCUGUGGCUGCUUGCAGAGGUGGGUUGCCCCUUUGCAUCAGGGAACAGGGCCUACUGGGAGGGCACUGCCAAACAGAUUGGUCAGAGAAGCCCAUUCCAGCUUGACCCCUUAGAAAUGGCCAGCUUUGGGAUCGGGCUGUAGCGCAGCGGGCUAAGCGCAGGUGGCGCAAAGCACAAGGACCGGCGUAAGGAUCCCGGUUCGAACCCUGGCUCCCCCCUGCAGGGGAGUCGCUUCACAGGCGGUGAAGCAGGUCUGCAGGUGUCUUUCUCUCCUCCUCUCUGUCUUCCCCUCCUCUCUCCAUUUCUCUGUCCUAUCCAACAACGACAACAACAAUAAUAACUACAACAAUAAAACAACAAGGGCAACAAAAGGGAAUAAAUAAAUAAAAUAAAUAUUUAAAAAAAAAAAAAAGAAAAGAAAAGAAAGGUGCUCUAGUAGAGUACCCACGCUAUGAUGCCUAAGGAUCCAGGUUCAGGACCCCAGGUCUAUACCUGCAGGAAACAAGCUCUACAAGCAGAGAAGCACUGCUGCAGGUCUCUGUC